rnacentral:rRNA from 1 species
AGAAUGAACGCUGGCGGCGUGCUUUACACAUGCAAGUUGAGCGAGGCCACCCGCAAGGGUGAGUCGAGCGGCGAACGGGUGAGUAACGCGUGGAUAACCUGCCCUUUAGUGGGGAAUAACCCGGGGAAACUCGGGCUAAUACCGCAUAAGACCGAGAGGUGAAAGCGGGGUCGCAAGAUCUCGUGCUAAUGGAGGGGUCCGCGUUCGAUUAGCUAGUUGGUAGGGUAAUGGCCUACCAAGGCGACGAUCGAUAGCCGGCCUGAGAGGGUGAUCGGCCACACUGGAACUGAGACACGGUCCAGACUCCUACGGAGGCAGCAGUGGGAAUUUGCGCAAUGGGCUAACGCCUGACGCAGCAACGCCGCGUGGAGAUGAAGGUCUUGGAUUGUAAACUCUGUCAGCAGGAAAAGGACUGGACUAAUACGUCUGGACUUGAUUGUACCUGCAGAGGUAACGCCCGUCUAACUCUCGCCGCCAAGCCGAACGCCGACGGUAACUCGUAGAACGCCGGCGUA